UUUCGGAUUUUUUCUUUUACUUCGGCCUUAAGAAAUUGCUAUCUGCCUUUCUUCUAUUCUAGGUCAACGGGAAGUACCCGAUAGGUUUUGAUUCCUUAGACUGGUCUUGACAGACAUAC